CCCAGAGAAUGGGUCCUAAGUUAGCAAAUAGUAGAAUCCAGGAUACUUAUUUGAAGGUGUGGUCUGGACAGGUGUGGUAGGUGAAUCUAAGCAGCUUGGGAUUAGCUGAGGCUCCUCAGACCUCAUACCUGUUAGUGCUAAUCAUCAGAACAACAGAAAAGACACAGAGAGGCUCAGCGAGCCAGCCGUAUCUCUUCUCUGUGUUGCUUAGUGUAUGCUCUGCCAUGUGUCUCAUGAAUUCAUGGAGACACUUUUUAAAUCAUCAUUUUAGAGUGUAGAGCUGGACGGGAUGUGAGAGAUCAUCUAGUGUAGUGGUUCUCAAAAUGUGGUCCAGAGACUUCCGUGUCUAGGAAGAUGGAGUAGAUGCACUUAUCCCACUUUUCGCUAUUUCUUCUGUCUCUGGAAAGAAAGGCCCUGGACUGGAGACAGUGCUUCCUGGAAUUCAUCCACAGAGGUGUCCACAGGUCUGCCUUGGCUACAGGCUGACUUGCUUCACAGCUAAGGAUAGUUUCUUUCUUUCACCUUGGUUGAGGUUGGCACAGCAACCGACAGCUCUCAAUCAAGCAACCGUCUUGUGAUCCAUCAGCUAGGAGGUAAGACAGCAUAGUGAUAAUGAGUUCAAGAAUUGGCAUCAUUCAGACCCGCAUCCAAAUCCUCACUUACCAGUUACUAGCUGUGUGUUCUGGAGCACAGAGCUCUGAGCCUCAAUUUCUUCAUCUGUUAAAUGAGAAUAUCGAACUCAGUGUGGAGAUGUUAGAGGAUUAAUUGAGAAUGUAUAUCAAGGGCUAUCGCAAAGCCUGACACGUAAGUGCUCAAUGACUAGACAUUGUUUUUAAUGAAGAAAUAUUCCUAAAGGUAGCCUCAACUUUUCAUUCAUCAUGUGUCAAAAGGGUCCCUGUAUUUUCAGAAGAAUCCCGUCCACAAAUCACCAUCAACAAGAGUCAAGAUAUUGUCUGCUUCGGGAGUAUGCUUAGCAUCCUGCAUCCACCAUUUAUCAGGGGCUGAGUGCUUGCCCUAGCUCAGAGGAAGACCACACUCUCAGCAGUUCUCCAUCAGCAGCGUCACAAGGGAGUCAGCACCUUGUAGACCACUAUUUUAUGGAAUCCAAAGUGAGGCCACAUUCAAGAAAGAGCACCCUUCUUUAGAGUGUACUUCCUUCAGUAGGAGUGAAUUAGACACCCCAUUAGGUCCCAAUAUUCCAUUAGGAAUAUUUCUGCUCCUGGAAAGACUCCCUCACCUCUCCUUCCUCUCAACAUUCACAGCAUCACUAUCUGCCUUGGGACUAACAGCAAAAACCUUAUCACGCCCUUUAUCCCUGUUCAUCACAAGAAGUUCAGGACUUCAUCGCUCAUCUCCCCCUUCUUUAAUUCCAUCACCUUCUCUGGCCCAUCUCCUAUGCCUCACCAUCUCUUGAAACUUUCGCUUUGUCUCUGGAAACAUAAAGUCAAUCACUAUCAAAAUGCCCUUUACUCAGAUCUUCUUCUGUGGAUGUUCUCUUCACUUGCUCUGAUCUGCUCUUCUCUUCACAACUCCUCCGCAGUCCUCCACGUGGGGGUGUUUUCUGUCUUUUACAUCCAUCCUAACAAGGAGUCUGGAGGUCAGGAAGGUGUCCUACUUUGUUUUCACAUCCCUUUCCAUACCUACCUCUUUGUCCUGCAUAAAAACACUCUGCUUUGAACCUCAUGUAAUCAGACUCUAUCUCCCGUGAGCCCUCUUUGUGCAGUCAUGUGCUGCCUCCUAUCCCCUGUCUGCUCUCUCUCGUUUCUUGAUUAUUUUAGCUUCUCUUUAACUCUUCAGUGCUACUCCUGUUAUAAUUCCUUGUGAUUUAAUACACAUUGAUGAUCUUUCCAAUACCCUGGCUUCCCAGACUGAUCCUAUUAAAAUAUAAGUCAGAUUGUGUCACUCCUUGUUCAGAAUCCUCCAAUGACUUCCCACUUAGUUCAAGGAGCCUGAUCACACAGGGCCUUGCAAAUCACAGCGAAGGCUCUGAUUUUUGUUGUUAUUGUUCCUUCCAACUGGCCACACUAACCUCCUUGCUAUUCUUUGUGCACGCCAUGAACACUCCCUGCCUUAGGGCUUUUGCACUUGCUGUUCCCUUUGCCUGGAGAGAAAUCUGUAUGGUUAAAUCCCUCAAUUUAUUCAGAUCUUGAAUAAAAAGCCAUCUUAUUGAGCUUUUCUCUGACCAUCCUUUCUAAAAUGUCAACACCCCAUUGAGAUUUCAUAUCUGAGUCAGUCCUUAUUUUUCCUUUUUGGCAUUUAUCAUUAUGUAAUAUGAUAUUUUUAUUUAUUCUCUU
ensembl:lncRNA